GUGUGUGUGUGUGUGUGUGUGUGUGUGUGUGAGAGAGAGAGAGAGAGAGAGAGAGAGAGAGAGAUUGAUUCGUCCCCAUCCGGAGGUAGAUUUCGAAGAGCAAACCCAGCAGAAGCUAUGCAAAUACGAGGCUUGCUUGGCUCCUGGCUUUGGCAAGGUGGAAACGAGGAUCAGUGUGGGUUUGCUUGCUCUCUCUGUCUCUCUCUGCUCGUCUUUGGACUGGCACAGGAGCAAAUCCAACGGUAAAAGGUGUGAUCAAGAAUUGCAACGUGGGAAAGAGUAGCAAUGCCCCGUGAUACCUUUAGCACAACGGCGAUGGCCGUCACAGAAAGCCCAAGAUCUCUUUGUGGUGUGCUUGCAUGUAUGAAUGCAUGCCUCUGUCUCAAAGGAAGAAGGUGAUGUGUCAAGUCCAUUGGCUACACUGAGAAGCUCAGCAGAAGUUCGGCUGACUUCAUCAGAAGCAGAACCAGGCCUAUUAAGAUGAGCAGCACACUGCAGCCAAUGCACUUGGGGAAUGAAAACCAAGAAGAGACUGCAAACAUUUCCUCUUGGAUUGGCAAGACUGAGAACAUUGUUCAUCUUUGAUGAGCAGCUGUAUGAAGAUCUUCAUGUGCACACAGCCUGCUGUGUGGGAUGACUGGUGCCAUUAACUAAAAUGAUGUAAACAGACCAUGUCUGAAAAGAAUGACAUUUUGAACUGCAAACUCUUCCAAAGACAUCAGGCACAGAAUCUCCACCUCUAAACUUACACCUGCAGGACAGCAUUCUACAGCACCUUUUGCUUCUGUAUGUGGAUCUGCUUGUGCACAGCUGGCUUUUGUGUGUACAUAAGUAGCUGCACAUUGUCUCUGUAGUAAACAUUCCCAGCUCAUCUCUCAGCCCAAGCACAUACUCAAGGCCACAAUAUUGGUUUCAAGUAGCAAUUACCUCUCAGGUUUGUCUGCAGCAUACAGAAAAUAAUGACCUACCUGAAAGGGUUGUUUGCUGAGAAUUUUAUGGAUGCUAAGAAAGUUCUGUAUAAAUAUGACACAUUAUCAUUAAUUAACUUAUAUUAUGUAAAAGUUUUUUUUUUUUUUUAAAAAAGGACUGAGGUGAACAGAAAGCAGAUACAUCUUAGACCAAAGAUAAACUUAAUUGAUUUAGGCAUUGUUUUUACAAUGGUUGUGGCUCCUUGUCUGAGCAAUUUAUAGCCAACCAUAAGUGUUUGCCUCACUAUAUUGUGUGAGAGGACUGAUGGCUACCAGAUCAGUGUUAUAUAGCUCCAGCUUGGCCAGCACUUCCUUUAUAAAAAUGCUUUUUGAAGAAUUUCUCACUCAGAAAUACAGAUUUUGCCUUGGAACAAGAAACUCCCAUGUACUGCCUCAUUCCCACAAGUAGUAAAAAUAAAUCAGCAGACAGGACAGUGUUUAUCCAUUGGCCAAUGGCAUAUGUCACAUGGUUGUUUAAAGGGCUGUUAUUUCACUGUGAUCAUCCACCGAGGUCCAGAUUAAAAAUACGAUGGGCCAGGAACAGAGGACAAUGCAAGAAUUGUGCCUGCUCUGUGCUGCCCCGUACCCACACACCCCUGGUACAUUAGGCACCAAUGAAGUGUUUCAAGAUAUCAAGCUUCUUUUCAGCAGCUUGGGCAAGCCAGGAAAUAAAUUGACUUUGGUGUUUGAGCAAGAGGCUGCAGUUGUACAAAGUCAGAUCCUUAUCUGACAUAAAUGGAGCUUUCUCCUCUGACUUUGAGGGCGUUGUGCCAUCUCGUAUAAUUUGAAGAUCCAGCACACGCCUUUCAAAUGGCACCUCUGCUAGGAGUGAGAAUUCAAUUCACCCUACAAAGUCUAAUCCUUCUCUGGCUAAAGGGUAAAUACUAAACGAAAUUGAUCAACCAAAGUCAUGGAUUGAAUGGCAAUAGAGUCCCCUCCAUGUAACCCACACAAAAGUUUUCAUGGAUACACAUUUUCAGACAAAAAAACCCCUCAAGAUAUUCCCUCCCACAGUUUCAGACAAUAUAAACCCGGGCAGAGUCGCCAUCUGUUGUUUCCCUCCUCUGGGAAUUCCCCAUCUCUGCACUGAUUCUAAACCUCUCUGCCUGCUCUCCUGAUGACUAAACUUCCUCAUUGGUUAGCCUAUCCCUUCAUCUAGCAUAUAAUAGUCUUACAACCACUUUAACUGCCAUAGUCUGGUGAAGUGCUGAUAAUUUUGGCUCAAAUUUCCUUGCUGCCACCCACCCACAGCACACAUUGUCUAUGGUUCUCUUGGUUCCCUGGAAGGAGAUAAUGACUCUCAACAAGCCUGAAGUGUGUAGCGCAGGUCUGCCUUUAAUCUAUUUCCAAAUUCAUGAAUGCUUUGGUAAACUAGAAAACAUUAGGGUGAUGAAGGCCAAAAUAGCUUUUGUCUCUGUACAGCUUUGGGUAUGAUCCAGCCCCAUUGAAGAAACAGCACCCAUGUACAAAGGAUUCCUGUACAGCUCAAUAAAGGGCUGUCAUGUUCCAAGGCAAUAAAAGAAGCACCUGUGCUCAGUGAUACCAUGUGAUCAUAUAUCCACAUCCAGGGCUCUGUCCCUGUAUGACAAUAAGGAGGGCUAGGCAGGGCGGGAGGGAUAAGGAAGGUGACAUAGACCUUCCAUACUCUGUAAUGGUUCAGUGGGCCGUGAAUGUCUGAGCUUGUAUGCACGUCAGGGGGUAUAGGAGGAGGAAAUACCAGUGUACGGGGUUGGGGGCAGAACUCUGCUAAGCCCCUUAAGAAGUCUUUACGUGAAGGCACUGUGUAUGAAGGAGUGUGUCAUAUCCAUGCAAUGCAAGCCCCACUGUGUCCAGUGGUGUGCAUACGAUUGCAGUUUUAAUAAUUUGAAGAUAGUGAAUGCCAAGGAAGUUGUGCUGUGGGAUGGUGAUGGAUAGGUGAAACAGAGCACCAGAAUAACAGUCAUCUCAUGCAGUUCCACCAAGGCCUGCACUGAGAAGGUUAAACAAGGUCACUUCCUUGGUACCCAUUUCAAAAGCAAUCAAUCAUGUCACUCCAAAGCAUUGUUAUGGUAACUAGUAAAAUGUGAAGAAGAAAAAGUCAUGCACGAUUUCUGUCACAGCCAACCUGCUUCAAGUGCUAUUUAAAAUGGUUUGAAAUGCAGUCGGCAUCCUAGACCGAUGACCCUUGAAUUGUAAACCAUUUUGUUUCAUUAGAUAUACAGGGCUGCUCUUUCCAGCAUUUUGUACAUCUGCCAAUUGCAAUCUUUAAAGUAAAGAAAGAUUAUAUUGUA